AGUGAACGCUGGCGGUAGGCCUAACACAUGCAAGUCGAACGGCAGCACAGUAAGAGCUUGCUCUUACGGGUGGCGAGUGGCGGACGGGUGAGGAAUACAUCGGAAUCUACUUUUUCGUGGGGGAUAACGUAGGGAAACUUACGCUAAUACCGCAUACGACCUACGGGUGAAAGCAGGGGAUCUUCGGACCUUGCGCGAUUGAAUGAGCCGAUGUCGGAUUAGCUAGUUGGCGGGGUAAAGGCCCACCAAGGCGACGAUCCGUAGCUGGUCUGAGAGGAUGACAGCCAAACCUGGACUGGAGCACCGGUCCGACUCCUUAGGGAAGGAAGAGUUGGGAAAAAUUGACAAUUGGGGGAAAGCCUGUCCAAGCAAACCGGGGUGGUUGAGGAAGCCCUUCGGGUGGAAAGGCCUUUUGGUGGGGAAAAAAAGCAACAGGGUAAAACCCCGCUGUUCUGACGGUACCCAAAGAAUAAGCACCGGCUAACUUCGUG
rnacentral:rRNA from 1 species